rnacentral:rRNA from 1 species
ACCCUGCCCGUUGCCGGGGGGUCGGCGCCCGCUCGGAAACACUCUGAUUAACGACUUUUACUGAUGUACAAGCAAAAAUCAAAACUUUUAACAACGGAUCUCUUGGUUCUGGCAUCGAUGAAGAACGCAGCGAAAUGCGAUAAGUAAUGUGAAUUGCAGAAUUCAGUGAAUCAUCGAAUCUUUGAACGCACAUUGCGCCCGCCAGCAUUCUGGCGGGCAUGCCUGUUCGAGCGUCAUUUCAACCCUCAAGCUCUGCUUGGUGUUGGGGCCCUACAGCUGAUGUAGGCCCUCAAAGGUAGUGGCGGACCCUCCCGGAGCCUCCUUUGCGUAGUAACUUUACGUCUCGCACUGGGAUCCGGAGGGACUCUUGCCGUAAAACCCCCCAAUUUUCCAAAGGUUGACCUCGGAUCAGGUAGGAAUAC